rnacentral:rRNA from 1 species
AGUGAACGCUGGCGGUAGGCCUAACACAUGCAAGUCGAACGGCAGCACAGUAAGAGCUUGCUCUUACGGGUGGCGAGUGGCGGACGGGUGAGGAAUACAUCGGAAUCUACUUUUUCGUGGGGGAUAACGUAGGGAAACUUACGCUAAUACCGCAUACAACCUACGGGUGAAAGCAGGGGAUCUUCGGACCUUGCGCGAUUGAAUGAGCCGAUGUCGGAUUAGCUAGUUGGCGGGGUAACGGCCCACCAAGGCGACGAUCCGUAGCGGGUCUGAGAGGAUGAUCAGCCACACUGGAACUGAGACACGGUCCAGACUCCUACGGGAGGCAGCAGUGGGGAAUCUUGGACAAUGGGCGCAAGCCUGAUCCAGCCAUACCGCGUGGGUGAAGAAGGCCUUCGGGUUGUAAAGCCCUUUUGUUGGGAAAGAAAAGCAGCAGGUUAAUACCCCGCUGUUCUGACGGUACCCAACGAAUAAGCCCCGGCUAACUUCGUG